rnacentral:rRNA from 1 species
CCUACGGGAGGCAGCAGUGAGGAAUAUUGGACAAUGGGCGCAAGCCUGAUCCAGCCAUGCCGCGUGCAGGAAGACGGUCCUAUGGAUUGUAAACUGCUUUUAUACAGGAAGAAACACUCGGACGUGUCCGAACUUGACGGUACUGUAUGAAUAAGCAUCGGCUAACUCCGUGCCAGCAGCCGCGGUAAUACGGAGGAUGCAAGCGUUAUCCGGAAUCAUUGGGUUUAAAGGGUCCGUAGGCGGUCAUAUAAGUCAGUGGUGAAAGCCCAUCGCUCAACGAUGGAACGGCCAUUGAUACUGUUUGACUUGAAUUAUUAGGAAGUAACUAGAAUAUGUAGUGUAGCGGUGAAAUGCUUAGAGAUUACAUGGAAUACCAAUUGCGAAGGCAGGUUACUACUAAUAUAUUGACGCUGAUGGACGAAAGCGUGGGGAGCGAACAGGAUUAGAUACCCUGGUAGUCCCGACGACGUAACGAGUAGAGUACUAGUACUGUUCGGUA